AUGUGAAUUAUCCUUACCCAUAAGAGAUGGUUUGCGAGAUACGAUUAUCAGUAAAAAUGUCUCAACAGCGGUACACUGAGUACAUUGAAUUUCAAAGAAAUGGAUCGCAGAGCAUGUCGUUUGAUGGUUCAAAGUUCAAAGCCUUAUCGGCACAGAUAAGCCGUUGCAGCGAUGGGAUAUCACAGAGAAAUAAAUGGCCAUAAUACUACGUUUCAGAAAUUAGACUAAGCUUGAGAUGAUGCUUUCUUGUGGUAGAAUGGAUGACAACAAACAUUCUACUCAAUUCAAUCAUGCAAUGCCAUCUAUUCCUAAUGUGUAAAGAGGGUUGCUUGAAGGAGGCGUAUAGUGUGCUACUUAAUAUGCACUUCCCUCCCUCGGACUCCUUUACCUAUACUCAGAGGGUAAGCUAAUCCACUGUUUCAUCGCUGAGAUGGGUUUUACAUUUGCUAGAAAUCCAUUUUUCCAAAAUAAUCUUAUAAACAUGUAUGCCAAGUGUGGAAAUUUGAUGGAUGCUCGAAAACUUUUCGAUCGUAUGACUGAACGAGACAUCUUCUCAUGGAAUAUGAUAAUUGCAGCAUAUAGAAAACAUGGGUUUCCUGAAGAGGCAUUGCAAUUGUUUCACCAAAUUAAACCAAGUGGCGUUGAAGCCGAUCAGUUCACCUUUGUCAGCAUUCUGCCAGCAUGUGCGAAAAUGGGUGCUCAUGAACAGGGUAUAAUCAUCCAUCAAAGAAUAAUUGAAAGGGGAUUGCUGUCUAAUGUUGUAGUUGCAAGUGCCCUGAUAGACAUGUACGCAAAAUGUGGAAGCAUACAGAAAGCAUGCGAACUGUUUGACAAAUUACCUAAACGAGAUGCAGUCUCAUGGAAUUCAAUGAUUGCGGGCUAUGUACAAAACGGUGUUCUUGACCAGGCUGUAAGGCUUUUCAAAGAAAUGCCUCAACCAAAUGUAGUUUCAUGGAAUGCAAUCAUUGCUGGAUACGCACAAAAUGGUGCUUUUGACGAAGCUAUGAGGCUUUUUGAAGAAAUGCCUCAACCAAACGUGGUUUCAUGGAAUGCAAUCAUUGCCGGAUAUGCGCAAAACGGGUUUGUUGAAAACGCUUUGGAGAUCUUUAAGCAAAUGCAAUUGGCAAGGGUAAAGCCAGACUCAGCAACCUUUGCCGGUGUCCUCCCAGCAUGCGCCAAAACUGGAGCUUUGGAACAGGGUAUGGAGUUCCAUCAAAGAAUAAUCAAAAGUGGAUUUCUGUCAGAUGUUGCGGUUGUAAAUUCCAUAAUAGACAUGUAUGCUAAAUGUGGAAGCAUAAAUAAAGCCCACGAUUUGUUUGAUAAAGUGCAUCAUCCGAAUGUGGUCUCAUGGACAGCAAUGAUUGCAGGAUAUGCAAUGCAUGGCUAUGGCAAAGAUGCCCUGAAAGUCUUUGAAGCAAUGAAGGACUCUCAAAUCCAACCCAACCAUGUAAGCUUUAUUUGUGUUUUAUUUGCAUGCAGUCAUACAGGUCUUGUGGAUGAGGGUUGUAAAUACUUCAAUUGCAUGACUGAAUCUCACUAUAUUAUACCUACAAUGGAUCAUUAUGUAUGCAUGGCUGACCUUCUUGGCCGCGUUGGCUAUCUUGAGGAAGCCCUCAACUUUAUCAUCAAAAUGCCAUUGAAACCUGAUGUGGAUGUGUGGAUGUCUUUGCUUGGGGUAUGUAGAUCACAUGAGAAUAUAGAGUUAGGAGAAUUUGCAGCAGAACAGCUUUUUGAAUUGGAUCCUAAACAUACUUCAUCUUAUGUUCUCCUUUCAGACAUUUAUGCAAAAGAAGGGAAGUGGGCUGGCCUUCAAAAGAUAAGAAAAUUGUCAAAAGACAGGGGUAUUAAAAAGAUCCCUGGAUGCAGUUGGAUCGAAGUUCAUAAAAUGGUACAUGUUUUUUGUGUUGGAGACAGAUCACACCCACAAACAGAGGAUAUCUAUAAAAUGUUGGAAAUACUGACCUGGGAGAUGAAGGCAGCAGGAUAUCUUCCUGAUUCAAGACAUGUAUCAAAUGAUGUGGAGGAGGAAGAGAGGGAAUUAUACAUGUUGCACCAUAGCGAGAAAUUGGCAAUCGCUUUCGGGUUGUUAAACACCUCUCCAGGAAUAGUCAUUAGAGUUGUUAAGAACCUUAGAGUGUGUAUUGACUGCCACAAUGCAACAAAGUUUAUCUCCAAGCUUGUUGCAAGGGAAAUUGUGGUAAGAGAUGCAAACCGAUUCCAUCAUUUCAAACAUGGACAAUGUUCUUGUGGAGAUUACUGGUGAUGCUAAUUUAAGCAAGCUAUAAACACAAAUUGCACUAUAUCAAACUGCAGGGUGUUGGACAUGCUCUGAUCAUGGAGAAUUAGGAGGACAUGAAGACGUGAUCACCAUUCCAAGUAGCUCCUUUGAAGAUUCAUCAACGCCCUCAGAGCCGAAUCAUACAACUAUUUCAUCAAUGGGCUCAAUGUCCAUUAAUUGGCUCGCACAGCUAUGUCAUCAACUGGCUCAGUGUCCGUUGAUUGGCUCAUACGACUAUGCCAUUAACAGGCUCAGUGUUUGUUGAUUGGCCCGGCUGCUACCAAAGCAAUACUGAGCUCCUCUCAAACAAUGUUUUAACGAAUUGCCAGGAUACCGUCAGACAACUUAAACACGUAUGUGAACAUACAUGCCGCAUGGAAAAUUCUGAAAUUAAAAUAUUUCAAGACAUCAAGUGAACAUUCCACACAACAUGUAGUGUAUUAGAGGCCUUCUAUGAUAUGUUGCGAGAUUUACGAUACGAUGAGCUUUAUGAAGUGGAUAGUUCUGCUGAUUUGAAAUGUUCAUUCUACAGCUUCUUGGACGAUGUUUGGUACACACACCCUAACUAAGUGAAGGGGUGCAUGUUAAGCUGUUUUUUUUAUGCCACAAAAAAUAGUAAUACGAUCAGCUCCAACUCUAUUUUGGUGGCCGAACAAGACUAAUAAAACAAGCACUCUUGUAACAAAUGAGCGUUGUGCUACACUGCAUCAAAAAUGGCACAGCUUGGCUGUUGCUUACUAUAUACUCACAGCAUUCUGAGUGUACAUAUUGUUUUUUAUCAAAUAUAUAUAACAAAAGUUGGCACUAUUAGUACCAUUGAAUUCUCAGUGUACAUAUUUUCAGCACAGCUACUUCAUGUACAUAAACCAUUGCAAGCUACACAGCAACCUCCUCCUACUGCCAACAUCAAGGAACAGUUGGAUACGCAGAGCCUCAAGUUGACACAGAUCACAUCUUUUCUCUAUGAAGACCAUCAACUGUACAAUCAUCACAAUCACUGUACUAAUCAAUACAAAAGUGUGCAGACUGAAAAUCUUAUAAUUGUUGACAUUUUCACUAUAAGAUUUUGGCUGCUGGAAUUAAGUUGUCUUUGUGCUUAACAAAACUCUGAUUCAGCUCAAUUGAACUCAACUAUGAUGGAUUUCAAUCCAGAAAUCUUUUUAUGGAAGGCUCUGAAAUCUGUGUUGAAAACUGGCUGCUAUAAUUAACUUGAUUAAUAUACAAACCUUUCAGAGAAUUUCCAGAAUUCCACGAAUGCAUAUUCAGAUUACCUCGUAAGCGUAACAAAUUUAUUUGACAAUGCACCAGUCUAUGAUAUUUAGUUACCAAGAUACAAAGUUACUAAAAGUAAAUUGUUCACAGCAACAGUUCAUACCCUGUUAACUACAGAUACAUGGAGCUUCUAGUUGAAAUAGACCAUAUCUUUGAUCAUGAAGACCUUAAUCUGUAUGGCUCGCUCAUGAAGACCUUCAAUUGUAUGCCAUUCUGAAAUUCUCACGACAGGGUAUC